rnacentral:rRNA from 1 species
AAAGGCGUAAUGAAAGUGAAGGUUCGCCACGCGCGAACCGAGGGAGGAUGGACGGUCGAUCGUGGCCGUCCCGCACUCCCUGGGCGUCUCGUUCUCAUCGCGAGAAGAGGCGCACCAAGAGCGUACACGCUGGGACCCGAAAGAUGGUGAACUAUGCCUGGUCAGGACGAAGUCAGGGGAAACCCUGAUGGAGGUCCGUAGCGAUUCUGACGUGCAAAUCGAUCGUCGGAACUGGGUAUAGGGGCGAAAGACUAAUCGAACCAUCUAGUAGCUGGUUCCCUCCGAAGUUUCCCUCAGGAUAGCUGGCGCUCGCUUCUGGCGAGUCUCAUUCGGUAAAGCGAAUGAUUAGAGGCAUUGGGGUCGAAACGGCCUCAACCUAUUCUCAAACUUUAAAUGGGUGAGAUCUCCGGCUUGCUUGAACUGUGAAGCCGCGAGAUAUCGGAUCAGAGUGCCAAGUGGGCCACUUUUGGUAAGCAGAACUGGCGCUGUGGGAUGAACCAAACGCCGAGUUAAAGCGCCUAAAUCGACGCUUAUGGGA